AUUUUAUUGAGAGUUUGAUCCUGGCUCAGGAUGAACGCUGGCGGCGUGCUUAACACAUGCAAGUCGAACGG
rnacentral:rRNA from 1 species